UACGUAGGGUCCGAGCGUUGUCCGGAAUUACUGGGCGUAAAGAGCUCGUAGGUGGUUUGUCGCGUUGUUCGUGAAAACUCACAGCUUAACUGUGGGCGUGCGGGCGAUACGGGCAGACUUGAGUACUGCAGGGGAGACUGGAAUUCCUGGUGUAGCGGUGAAAUGCGCAGAUAUCAGGAGGAACACCGGUGGCGAAGGCGGGUCUCUGGGCCGAUACUGACGCUGAGGAACGAAAGCUAGGGGAGCAAACAGG
rnacentral:rRNA from 1 species